rfam:Triticum aestivum genome assembly, contig: Triticum_aestivum_CS42_TGACv1_scaffold_224760_3B
GAUAUACUCCCCCCGUCCGGAAAUACUUGUCGAAGAAAUGCAUAAAAAUGAAUGUAUCUAAAACUAAAAUACGUCCAGAUAUAUCCAUUCCUCCGACAAGUAUUUCUGGAUGGAGGGAGUAUCUU